rnacentral:rRNA from 1 species
UAGCCCUAACCCCUUCAACUCGAGGGCCACCAAGGGCGGAUUAGCAAUCCUUGCCUGGUGGCGCCCGGCGGAAUGGUGAUUAACACGUAGCCACCCUGCCUACACAAGGGCUUAACUCUGGGAAAUCGGUGCUAUUUCCUUAUAGCACAGGGGCCCCGCAUGGGGAUAUUUGUAAAGAUUAAUCGGUUGUAGAUGGGCAUGCGUUCCAUUAGCUAGUUGUUGAGGUAAUGGCUCACCAAGGCAACGAUGGAUAGGGGAACUGAGAGGUUUAUCCCCCACACUGGUACUGAGACACGGACCAGACUCCUACGGGAGGCAGCAGUGAGGAAUAUUGGUCAAUGGAGGCAACUCUGAACCAGCCACGUCGCGUGAAGGAAGACGGCCCUACGGGUUGUAAACUUCUUUUAUAAGGGAAUAAAGUGAGUCACGCGUGAUUUUUUGCAUGUACCUUACGAAUAAGGAUCGGCUAACUCCGUGCCAGCAGCCGCGGUAAUACGGAGGAUCCGAGCGUUAUCCGGAUUUAUUGGGUUUAAAGGGUGCGCAGGCGGGAGACUCAGUCGGUGGUGAAAUCUUGCAGCUCAACUGUAAGCGUGCCAUUGAUACUGGUUUUCUUGAGUGUGGAUGAAGUAGGCGGAAUUUGUGGUGUAGCGGUGAAAUGCAUAGAUAUCACGAGGAACUCCGAUUGCGUAGGCAGCUUACUAAACCAUAACUGACGCUCAUGCACGAAGGCGUGGGGAUCAAACAGGAUUAGAUACCCUGGUAGUCCACGCGGUAAACGAUGAUUACUGGCUGUUUGCGAUACACAGUAAGCGGCCCAGCGAAAGCG